rnacentral:rRNA from 1 species
UACGUAGGGAGCAAGCGUUGUUCGGAUUUACUGGGCGUAAAGGGCGCGUAGGCGGCGCGGUAAGUCAGUUGUGAAAUCUCUGAGCUUAACUCAGAACGGCCAAGUGAUACUGCAGUGCUAGAGUGCAGAAGGGGCAAUCGGAAUUCUUGGUGUAGCGGUGAAAUGCGUAGAUAUCAAGAGGAACACCUGAGGUGAAGACGGGUUGCUAGGCUGACACUGACGCUGAGGCGCGAAAGCCAGGGGAGCAAACGGG